GAUGAACGCUAGCGUGAGGCCUAACACAUGCAAGCCGAGCGGUAGAUUCCCUUCGGGGGCUUGAGAGCGGCGUACGGGUGCGGAACACGUGUGCAACCUACCUUUAUCUGGGGGAUAGCCUUUCGAAAGGAAGAUUAAUAACCCAUAAUAUAUAGAUUUGCAUCAAUCGAUAUUGAAAACUCCGGUGGCUAGAGAUGGGCACGCGAAAGAUUGGCUGGGUGGUGAGGUAACGGCUCACCAAGGCAAUGAUCUUUAGGGGGCCUGAGAAGGUGAUCCCCCACACUGGUACUGAGACACGGACCAGACUCCUACGGGAGGCAGCAGUGAGGAAUAUUGGACAAUGGGUGCAAGCCUGAUCCAGCCAUCCCGCGUGAAGGACGACGGCCCUAUGGGUUGUAAACUUCUUUUGUACAGGGAUAAACCUACCCUCGUGAGGGUAGCUGAAGGUACUGUACGAAUAAGCACCGGCUAACUCCGUGCCAGCCGCCGCUGUAA
rnacentral:rRNA from 1 species